AGGAAAUAAAUCAGCGCGGACCAACUGUGUCUUGACGUUACUCCAUAACUUUAUUGAACAACCAACUUCCCAGACUUCAGUCUAGUGGGCUGUUUAAUCACCCUUCCAGACCUGGUUCUGGGAGUAGAAUCUCCCGGAGAAGGCACUGGAGACCCCAAAACAGGUGGUGCAUGAUCCUGCUCUAGGACCGGCAGUGGCUCCUGUUGCUGCUGUCCACCCUCAUCCUGUGCUGGCGACUGGAGUGGUAUAAGAUGCAUGCGGUUUCGUCUUACCUCCCCAUGCGGUGUGUCCACAAGCAAGCUGCGGUCAGGCAGCGCAGGUUGUAGCUCAGAUGGAUGUGUCGGCACUGUGGUGCGGAGACGUCGACCCAUGAGCAACUGUGCCGGGCUGUAUCCAUUUUGAAGAGGAGUGGCUCUAUAUGCAAGAAGAGCCAUGUACGGGU